CUCACUCUACAGUGGUGAGAGAGAGAGCUAUAGAGAAAGUUUAUGUAAGUCAUAAUGGUAAAUUAUUGUGUUUGUGCUGGUUGCACAAAGUCCAGCCUGUCAGGAAAUCAUGUACAUAAUUUUCCUUGUAGGAAAAGCAAGGUUUUUUGUUUUUGGGUUCGUUUUGUGCAGGUGAAGUGAGCAGACUUCACUGCCGCGUCUGUCACCACACUCUCGGUCGUCUGUGGCGCUCAUUUCACUCCGGAGAGUUAUAGACCUGAAGAGUUAUAGACCUGGAGAUUUGUUGGAGUCUCGGAUAGGAUUUUGGAGUAAGGACCAUGCGAGGCUGAUUACAGAUGCUGUUCCCUCGGUGAUGGAAUCAAGUCCACCACCAUCAAGGCUUUCACCUGAAUCUGGCGUGGGCAUGAUUGGAGGACCAAGUGCUAGCACUUGCAGAAAUUCCAUGCACCGAAAAGAGCUCCUAGCAGAAUUUUGGCAGAGCGUGCAGCCAGUAAUGAAGGGAUAGAUGCACCUGACAGAGGGCUUCUCUCUACAGGAUCCUGGGCCAUUAUUGCUUCGUCGUGGGUCAUAGUGCAACAUCAGAUGUCUGCAAAGCUCAUCAGUUUUCCUUGGACUUGGGUGGCCCCUAAAUCAUGGCUGCAG